GUCCAUUAUGUAAACUUUGUAACCACAAAUGAAUUACCAGAUUAAGUGUUCCCCAAUACAUUCACAAAGAACAUGGAGUAAUUGAAUCUGAAAUUACACAUAGAUUGCACCCCUAUUGACAAAAAGACAAAAUAAUUCAACGCUGCGCAAUUGUUUCUAUUAUCGUAUACAAAAUAGCAAAAGAAAAUCGCAGUAAAGGUAUCUUUGAGCUAUUCUAUUAAUCUCACAAUUUUGCGUCUUAGUUGUUUCCCAAAUGUAUGACAUUCAUUCAAUUGUAUUUAAUUUACCUAAUAUAAAUUUCACUAAUAAUAUCCACAUUACAAUAUUAAAAAUGUAUAAGGAUGCCUCUUCAUUCUAUACGGACUGUAUUUUAUAAUUUGAAAACUAAAGACAGUUUUGUAAAUAGGUAUUGUGGGCUUAGUGUCAAUUACAUACACUACUAAACAAUCGCCAGCGAAAAAUGGGAAAACAAUUGAUAUAUUGUAAUCCCCGGCAUAUGUUGUGCUUGGUGCUUGGCAAUUCGGACGGUUCGACACGUGCCGUUAGUGAGCAUCGAUGGGCGCAGAGACCUUGACUUGAUUGGCUUUUUUGCUUUCUAUGAUUAAUGCUUGUUGUCGGUUUUUUGCUGCCCGCAUUUUUAGAACAAUUAGCCGACUGUGUUGCAAUAGCAAUAUGCAACAGCAAGAAGUGGAAAUCCACAAAAGUGGCGCAACCUAGAAUUUCACAGUAUUAAUCAAUGCCCAACAAUGAAAACCAAGCCUAAAAAAAGUAGUCUGAAAAUUCCAGUCCGAUAUCCAAAAAACUGGCGACAAACGACGCCACUGGGUAUAUUAGCCACAAUGAAUAGCUUUCACAUGGUCCAUAGCCACAUAUGUAUAUAUAUAAAUCAAUUAGUUAUUAUAUAUUUUUAUAGUUAAAGCAUCGCGGCUGCUGGCUUAACUUGUUGUCUAAUCGUAAAUCUAAGAUCCUUAUAUCUAUUCGGCAAUUAGUUUAUUAUUAUGAUUAUUAUGAUACAAAUGUUCGCUGUGCACAAAAUUCGAGAGUACGAGAGCGUUGGAACUACUACAAACAAACUACGAUGACAGAUAACUAGGAUUGCAAUGGAUG